rnacentral:antisense_RNA from 1 species
UUUCGCGUUUGGAUUGUUAUCCACAAUCGCGUUGCCCACAGCAUGCAGCAAGUGGGUUUUACCCAAACCCGUGCCGCCAUA